CCGCGGUAUCCUAACCGUGCGAAGGUAGCGUAAUCACUUGUUCUUUAAAUGUGGACUAGUAUGAAUGGCACCACGAAGGUUAUACUGUCUCCUUUUUCUAAUCAGUGAAACUAAUCUCCCCGUGAAGAAGCGAGGAUACACCUAUAAGACGAGAAGACCCUAUGGAGCUUUAAACAACACAGCAAUUAUCUGCUAAACUAAGAAGUUUCUGAACAUUUUUAAUCUUUUAAGUAAUCUGACUGCAAGUUUUUGGUUGGGGUGACCACGGAGCAUAACAUAACCUCCAUGUUGAAAGAAUUCUUUCUAAGCCAAGAACAACCUUUCUAAGCAUCAAUAUAUUGACAUCCAUUGACCCAAUACAUUUGACCAACGAACCAAGUUACCCUAGGGAUAACAGCGCAAUCCACUUCAAGAGCUCCUAUCGACAAGUGGGUUUACGACCUCGAUGUUGGAUCAGGGUAUCCCAGUGGUGCAGCCGCUACUAAAGGUUCGUUUGUUCAACGAUUAAAACCCUACGUGAUCUGAGUUCAGACCGGA
rnacentral:rRNA from 1 species